rnacentral:rRNA from 1 species
GAUGAACGCUGGCGGCGUGCCUAACACAUGCAAGUCGAGCGAGAAGAUUAUGAUAGAUCCUUCGGGUGAAAGAUUAAUUGGAAAGCGGCGGACGGGUGAGUAACGCGUGGGCAACCUGCCCUGUAUAAAGGGAUAGCCACUGGAAACGGUGAUUAAUACCUUAUAAGACUACAGAAACACAUGUUUCAGUAGCCAAAGCUCCGGCGAUACAGGAUGGGCCCGCGUUUGAUUAGCUAGUUGGUGAGGUAAUGGCUCACCAAGGCGACGAUCAAUAGCCGACCUGAGAGGGUGAUCGGCCACACUGGAACUGAGACACGGUCCAG